rnacentral:rRNA from 1 species
CCUACGUGAGGCUGCAGUGAGGAAUAUUGGUCAAUGGGCGGGAGCCUGAACCAGCCAAGCCGCGUGAAGGAAGAAGGCGCCAGGCGUCGUAACCUUCUUUUGUCGGGGAACAAAGGGCGCCACGCGUGGCGUUGUGAGUGUACCCGAAGAAAAAGCAUCGGCUAACUCCGUGCCAGCAGCCGCGGUAAUACGGAGGAUGCGAGCGUUAUCCGGAUUUAUUGGGUUGAAGGGGUGCGUAGGCGGGAGCGCAAGUCAGCUGUGAAAACUCAGGGCUCAACCCUGAGCCUGCAUUUGAACCGGUGUUUCUUGAGUGCUGGAGAGGCAAUCGGAAUUCCGUGUGUAGCGGUGAAAUGCGUAGAUAUACGGAGGAACACCAGUGGCGAAGGCGGAUUGCUGGACAGUAACUGACGCUGAUGCGCGAAAGCGUGGGGAGCAAACAGGAUUAGAUACCCCAGUAGUC